rnacentral:tRNA from 5 species
GGAGAGGUGGCAGAGCGGUCGAAUGCAGCAACCUGCUAAGUUGUUGGGCUCGAAAGGGUCCCGAGGGUUCGAAUCCCUCCCUCUCCG